AGCGAACGCUGGCGGCAGGCCUAACACAUGCAAGUCGAACGAACUCUUCGGAGUUAGUGGCGGACGGGUGAGUAACACGUGGGAACGUGCCUUUAGGUUCGGAAUAACUCAGGGAAACUUGUGCUAAUACCGAAUGUGCCCUUCGGGGGAAAGAUUGAUCGCCUUUAGAGCGGCCCGCGUCUGAUUAGCUAGUUGGUGAGGUAAAGGCUCACCAAGGCGACGAUCAGUAGCUGGUCUGAGAGGAUGAUCAGCCACAUUGGGACUGAGACACGGCCCAAACUCCUACGGGAGGCAGCAGUGGGGAAUCUUGCGCAAUGGGCGAAAGCCUGACGCAGCCAUGCCGCGUGAAUGAUGAAGGUCUUAGGAUUGUAAAAUUCUUUCACCGGGGACGAUAAUGACGGUACCCGGAGAAGAAGCCCCGGCUAACUUCGUGCCAGCCGCCGCGGUAA
rnacentral:rRNA from 1 species